rnacentral:lncRNA from 10 species
AAGCUGUCCACAUCCCUGGCCUCAGCCCGCCACAUCACCCUGACCUGCUUACGCCCAGCCUGUGGACAUUUUCGCGGUCCGGGUCCCUGCGGCGGACGGGUCGGAUCGUGCUCGUGGCCAGGGCGCAGUCAGGUGUCGCGUGGUCCUGAUCUAGGAAGAGACUGCGGCCUUAUCACCGUCUCGGUGUCUGCUUUCACCUUCAACUGCCCCCCUCCUCACCUGGACCGCUCACCCUCCUCCUCCCCUCUCACCCCGCCAUCCCCACCAGUCCCCACCUGUCUCUGUAGACUGCAAGACUCAUCAAGUGACUUGCUGAGCAAACCCUGCCGAGAAGAGAUUUUCUUCAAUCACAUCUGAAUAAAUCACUUGAAGUGUCUGAGUGCUAUGAAGAUUGCACACAGAGGUCCAGAUGCAUUCCGUUUUGAGAAUGUCAAUGGAUACACCAACUGCUGCUUUGGAUUUCACCGGUUGGCGGUAGUUGACCCGCUGUUUGGAAUGCAGCCAAUUCGAGUGAAGAAAUAUCCGUAUUUGUGGCUCUGUUACAAUGGUGAAAUCUACAACCAUAAGAAGGUG